rnacentral:rRNA from 1 species
CCCUUAGAUGUUCUGGGCUGCACGCGCGCUACACUGAUGCGUUCAGCGAGUUUAUAACCUUGCCCGAUAGGGUUGGGUAAUCUUCUGAACACGCAUCGUGAUGGGGAUAGACUAUUGCAAUUAUUAGUCUUCAACGAGGAAUCCCUAGUAAUGAUGAAUCAUCAGUUCAUCGUGAUUACGUCCCUGCCCUUUGUACACACCGCCCGUCGCUUCUACCGAUUGAGCAAUCCGGUGAAUAAUUCGGACUGCAGCAGUGUUCAGUUCCUGAACGUUGCAGUGGAAAGUUUAGUGAACCUUAUCACUUAGAGGAAGGAGAANUCGUAACA